UCCUCACAUCAGUCCUUGUGCUUUGCACCAUGUGCACUUAACCCUCUGUGCUACUGCCCAACUCCCCCAAGUGAACUAUUUCACCAACCCAUUGAGCUCUCGUCUUAAUGAAGAAUAAAUGAUCUGGCCCACAAAAAGCAUCAAGUAGUUACUGGUUUGCAUUACUCAUGAAAUGAUCAAACUCAAUCAUUGAUGAUUAAGGGGAGAGGUUGUUUUAGUGCAAAUUAGUGCUGGAGCAAAAAGAACAGCUUCCUUGGUUUUAUUUUCAUUUUCUGUUUUCCAGAUAUUUUUCUGUUUUCUCCCUGCCCCUAAUGGCUUCAAAGAAUAGAAAAUUUUUUACAUCAAUGUAUUAUUAAAGUUGAUCAAUCCCAAACUGGUGUUUUGACAGUGUUUUGGAGGAAAAGAAAACCAACCUAUGCUAUACAGACUACUGUAAUUUUCCUUGACACUUCAGACAUCAUGUGGAACAAAUGAGGUUGUAUUUUAAUGCACAGCUCAUAAUUAAAUAAAUUAAAUUUAUUUAACUUAAACCCAAUUAAACCUAUUAAUGAAGGCAAACUAAUAAUUAACUCUUGAGGAAAUGUGUGUGGGGAAGCUUAUUCUUCAAAGUACUUUUUUUUCCCAAAGCAAUGCUCAGCCCUGGCUUCUGGCAUAAGAAUAUUUUGUGUAACCAUUUAUGCUAACUCCCAGUUCUUUCUCUCUCUCUUUAGAGACAGAGAGGCAGAGAGAGAUAGAAAAGAGAAAGAGGGAGAGGGAGGGAGGGAGGAAGGGAGAGAGAGAGAGAAAGAGAGAGACAGACAGACACCAUAGCACCAAAGCGUCAAUUCUGGGAGGGGGUUGGGAGUGGGUAGGCUUGAACAUGAGUCAUACACAUGGCAAAGCAGCACACUAUCCAGGUGAGCUAUUUUGCCGGCUCUAGAGUACAUACAUUUAUGGAAUCAGCUGAAAAUCACUGUGCUCAGCACAGCUCCCAUCUCCCUACCCCCUCCCUUGUGCUCUGCUCUCUAAGGUUGCCAGAGGACACUGUUUUUUUGAGUCAUCAGACCCUGUUCUUGCUGCAGUACAUGCUCCCUGUGUCUCAGAGAUGACAGCAGUGGCCCCAAGUUCCCUUGAUCUACACCCCCCUAUACCAGGUCUACACCAUCUCUCC